rnacentral:rRNA from 2 species
UUAAGCGACUAAGCGUACACGGUGGAUGCCCUGGCAGUCAGAGGCGAUGAAGGACGUGCUAAUCUGCGAAAAGCGUCGGUAAGGUGAUAUGAACCGUUAUAGCCGGCGAUGUCCGAAUGGGGAAACCCAGUGCAAUUCGUUGCACUAUCGUUAACUGAAUACAUAGGUUAACGAGGCGAACCGGGGGAACUGAAACAUCUAAGUACCCCGAGGAAAAGAAAUCAACCGAGAUUCCCCCAGUAGCGGCGAGCGAACGGGGAGCAGCCCAGAGUCUGAAUCAGCUUGUGUGUUAGUGGAACGGUCUGGAAAGUCCGACGGUACAGGGUGAUAGUCCCGUACACCAAAAUGCACAGGCUGUGAACUCGAAGAGUAGGGCGGGACACGUGGUAUCCUGUCUGAAUAUGGGGGGACCAUCCUCCAAGGCUAAAUACUCCUGACUGACCGAUAGUGAACCAGUACCGUGAGGGAAAGGCGAAAAGAACCCCGGCGAGGGGAGUGAAAAAGAACCUGAAACCGUGUACGUACAAGCAGUGGGAGCACCUUCGGGUGUGACUGCGUACCUUUUGUAUAAUGGGUCAGCGACUUAUAUUCUGUAGCAAGGUUAACCGUAUAGGGGAGCCGCAGGGAAACCGAGUCUUAACUGGGCGUUAAGUUGCAGGGUAUAGACCCGAAACCCGGUGAUCUAGCCAUGGGCAGGUUGAAGGUUGGGUAACACUAACUGGAGGACCGAACCGACUAAUGUUGAAAAAUUAGCGGAUGACUUGUGGCUGGGGGUGAAAGGCCAAUCAAACCGGGAGAUAGCUGGUUCUCCCCGAAAGCUAUUUAGGUAGCGCCUCGUGAACUCAUCUUCGGGGGUAGAGCACUGUUUCGGCUAGGGGGUCAUCCCGACUUACCAACCCGAUGCAAACUACGAAUACCGAAGAAUGUUAUCACGGGAGACACACGGCGGGUGCUAACGUCCGUCGUGAAGAGGGAAACAACCCAGACCGCCAGCUAAGGUCCCAAAGUCAUGGUUAAGUGGGAAACGAUGUGGGAAGGCACAGACAGCCAGGAUGUUGGCUUAGAAGCAGCCAUCAUUUAAAGAAAGCGUAAUAGCUCACUGGUCGAGUCGGCCUGCGCGGAAGAUGUAACGGGGCUAAACCAUGCACCGAAGCUGCGGCAGCGACACUAUGUGUUGUUGGGUAGGGGAGCGUUCUGUAAGCCUGCGAAGGUGUGCUGUGAGGCAUGCUGGAGGUAUCAGAAGUGCGAAUGCUGACAUAAGUAACGAUAAAGCGGGUGAAAAGCCCGCUCGCCGGAAGACCAAGGGUUCCUGUCCAACGUUAAUCGGGGCAGGGUGAGUCGACCCCUAAGGCGAGGCCGAAAGGCGUAGUCGAUGGGAAACAGGUUAAUAUUCCUGUACUUGGUGUUACUGCGAAGGGGGGACGGAGAAGGCUAUGUUAGCCGGGCGACGGUUGUCCCGGUUUAAGCAUGUAGGCUGAUUGUCCAGGCAAAUCCGGAUAAUCAAGGCUGAGGUGUGAUGACGAGGCACUACGGUGCUGAAGUAACAAAUGCCCUGCUUCCAGGAAAAGCCUCUAAGCAUCAGGUAACAUCAAAUCGUACCCCAAACCGACACAGGUGGUCAGGUAGAGAAUACCAAGGCGCUUGAGAGAACUCGGGUGAAGGAACUAGGCAAAAUGGUGCCGUAACUUCGGGAGAAGGCACGCUGGUGUGUAGGUGAAGUCCCUGCGGAUGGAGCUGAGACCAGUCGAAGAUACCAGCUGGCUGCAACUGUUUAUUAAAAACACAGCACUGUGCAAACACGAAAGUGGACGUAUACGGUGUGACGCCUGCCCGGUGCCGGAAGGUUAAUUGAUGGGGUUAUCCGUAAGGAGAAGCUCUUGAUCGAAGCCCCGGUAAACGGCGGCCGUAACUAUAACGGUCCUAAGGUAGCGAAAUUCCUUGUCGGGUAAGUUCCGACCUGCACGAAUGGCGUAAUGAUGGCCAGGCUGUCUCCACCCGAGACUCAGUGAAAUUGAACUCGCUGUGAAGAUGCAGUGUACCCGCGGCAAGACGGAAAGACCCCGUGAACCUUUACUAUAGCUUGACACUGAACAUUGAGCCUUGAUGUGUAGGAUAGGUGGGAGGCUUUGAAGCGUGGACGCCAGUCUGCGUGGAGCCAACCUUGAAAUACCACCCUUUAAUGUUUGAUGUUCUAACGUUGGCCCCUGACCGGGGUUGCGGACAGUGUCUGGUGGGUAGUUUGACUGGGGCGGUCUCCUCCCAAAGCGUAACGGAGGAGCACGAAGGUUAGCUAAUCCUGGUCGGACAUCAGGAGGUUAGUGCAAUGGCAUAAGCUAGCUUGACUGCGAGCGUGACGGCGCGAGCAGGUGCGAAAGCAGGUCAUAGUGAUCCGGUGGUUCUGAAUGGAAGGGCCAUCGCUCAACGGAUAAAAGGUACUCCGGGGAUAACAGGCUGAUACCGCCCAAGAGUUCAUAUCGACGGCGGUGUUUGGCACCUCGAUGUCGGCUCAUCACAUCCUGGGGCUGAAGUAGGUCCCAAGGGUAUGGCUGUUCGCCAUUUAAAGUGGUACGCGAGCUGGGUUUAGAACGUCGUGAGACAGUUCGGUCCCUAUCUGCCGUGGGCGCUGGAGAAUUGAGGGGGGCUGCUCCUAGUACGAGAGGACCGGAGUGGACGCAUCACUGGUGUUCGGGUUGUCAUGCCAAUGGCACUGCCCGGUAGCUAAAUGCGGAAGAGAUAAGUGCUGAAAGCAUCUAAGCACGAAACUUGCCCCGAGAUGAGUUCUCCCUGAGACUUUAAGUCUCCUGAAGGAACGUUAAAGACGAUGACGUUGAUAGGCCGGGUGUGUAAGCGCAGCGAUGCGUUGAGCUAACCGGUACUAAUGAACCGUGAGGCUUAACCUU